UUUAGUUAUUUGGUUAAAUCCAAUAACAAUAAAACGUAGCUUAGAAAAAUGGUCAUUUUUUGCUCAGUUCCAAUUGCCCGCCUGUAGUUAGUAUUGUUUUUCUUGUAGACAAAAAGGUAAAUAAAGGAAAAUCCCUAAAUAUAUUUUAAUAGAUAAGACGAUAAGAGACCAAACAAAAAAGAUGCGUACUGCAAAAAGAUCCCGUAAAAAAGAGAGAGAGAGAGAGAGAGAGAGAGAGAGAGAGAGAGAGAGAGAGAGAGAGAGAGAGAACUGCAGAAAUUUAUAACACCUAGAAACAAGGCAUGAUUGGAAAUCUUUCAGAAUGUUUCUUGCUAUAUUUUGAUAAAUCGAAAUAUCUCUUGUGAAAUAUUGAAAAUCAAGGAAAAAGAGAGGGAUAUAGAGGAGAGUAUAUGAAUUUGGUACUCCAGUUUGAAGAAAAUGUGGCCUUACUUGGCCUGCCUUGGCAGCAGCUGUUGUGUGACGUUAUUGUCUAGAUGUUGUCUGAAAUACGGAGAGAAGUCUAACGCAAGGAUAGUCAUGUUGUUUAUAGGCUGCCUAUUCACUGGUGAGGUUCCUCCUAAUUACUGAUGAUGGAGGUGAACAGGCCAAGGAAAUGGAAUUGAACGAGAGAAUUUCGGCCUUGCGAGACACCACACAGUACCAGAGAGAGCAGCAGUGAACUUGGACAGGAUCAUUUUUCAGCUGCAACAGAGGCUUGACUACAAUGAAGACAUUCAGAAGGCGGGCGGAAAGGAAGAAAGCACUCGUGUGAUCCUGGCAAGAAAGGGCCCACUUAUUCGAAGGUGAGACGUUGUUUCUGAAGGAGAACGAUCAAGUGAAGAAGGAGAAGGACGUGCAGAUAUAGACCGAAGAAGCGGCGCGGAUGGCGAGGCUCGUCCAGGAACGAAAAGACGCGAACGAAAAGCGCUAAUCCGACAGGAAAGACGCCGAGGUCAGGUUCCAGCUCCUGCAGAAGGAAGUGGAAGAUCUCACGAAGGAAACGUGUGUACUACAUUGUGAAGUUCAGGUUGCGAAACUGAAGAGAGACGAGCUGAGGUGCCUUGUAGAGGAAGGGAAUCAUCGCUUCAAGUCGCUGGAUAGGAACACCGGUGUCCAGGGCGAACGGAACGACCAGUUGGAAGAUGAGGUUCGACAGCUGCGAGGAGCGAAGGAGAAAUCGGUUUGCCAGCUCAAGAACCACCAGGGAAAUUACAGAUGCCUGGAAAAUGAAGGAGCAGCUGUCCAUGUUCAAGGAAUGGCGCGACCAAGUCUAAGCUGGCCUUGCGAAGAGGGCUCAGAUGUCAAAAAUUUGAGGAGAAUGUUUGUUGUAUGGAAAUUUUUUUUUUUUUUUUUUUAAUCAAUAAAGUUUAUUUACAAA